AAGCCCAUAUGAUUGAAAAGAAGCAUGCGCCAAUCACCAGCCCUUCUGUUAUGAUCAUAGAUAAUGAGCUUUAUGCCUGAUCAAGUGAUCUGUGCAUGUACAGACCUCAGGAUCCUUCUGAUAAGUCUUUGCCGGGGUUACCUCGUGCCUCCGCUUUAAAAACCACCCAGCUGCUGCUCAGCCCCUGGAAAGCUGUCUUUGUUCUUUGCUCACUUCCCCUUUAAGGGUUUGGGUGUUUCACCUGGCAGAGUUCCCAGUGCCCUCUGGACUAAUUGGCACAAGGUGAAAAUUUUUCCAACUUGGAAGAGAAACAGCCUGUUCGCCAGGGAAGGCUCUUCAAGGUUUCAGACUGUGCCACGAACAGCCUAAUGCUCAGCAGUACUGACGCUACUCUUGUAACCAUCUCUGGAUCUGCAGAAAGCAGUCAGGUCCCAGAGCCAGACACGCUGCAAGGCCAUCCCAGGCUGCCUCUUCCAGCUGUGUGAGUUUGGGCAAAUUUCUUAACCUCUCUGUCAAUGAGAUACAUAACGCCUUCCUGGCAGGACUGUUGGGAAGAGGAACUAACCCAGAAGUACCUAAGCCUCAUCCACUGGGCGAGCUCAUGUGACAAUGGGGUGGUCCUCUCACCCUGUCCUGCUUUGCCACCCAGGGCUUCUGGAGCUCUCAGGUCUCUGGGGAGUGUUCAGCUAAAUUCACCUGGAAUUUAACUUGCUAGGAUUUGUUCCCAGUGUGCUGCCAGGGAACCAAGUGACCUCACCUUAGUGUCUUGCUGAGUGGUUUGGCUGGGCCGUGAUUGGAACCACACCAUGUCAGGUCAGCAAAGGGAGUUGUUUUGAGACCUGCCAGGAAAUCUAAAUUGGCCAAACAGGAAUAAAGUAAGUGAAACUCAUUUUGAACCAAACACUUCCAUUUCCCUCCAGUUUUGGGCAGAACUCCCUGGGGGCAGCUCCUCCUUCUCCCCACCCAGAUAUUCCCAGGGCUUUGGUCACUGAAUACCCCGCGGGUAAUGAUGUUGAUUCCUGGGGUGGCGGGGUCAGCCCCCCUUCCAGACCCUCCAGAGGCUCCUGUUGCCAUCUCACUCGCUUCUCCUCCAGGUGACAGGUAAGAGGACAGUGGCAAGAGCAGGCACGGACAAGGCUUCACGUGGAUCCCAGCGCUACAGUGAAGUGUGAGAAGUGGGGAGGACGGUGGGGUUGCCAGGCAGAGAGAACAGGGGCAGCCAGCCUGGCCUAGCACCUACCGAAUGCAGGCCCUCGUCCUAGGGCUUUGCAGCUGUUGAGCCACUGAAUCAUCAGCCUCCUAGCUGGGACUGUUAUUCUCCUCGUUUUCCAGAUGAGGAACUCGAGGCAAAGCAGACUGAAAGAACUUUCCCAAGAUGACUCCAGUAGGAAGUGGCAGCGGUGAGACCUGAGUUCAGGCAGGCUGUGGCCAAAGCCUAACAAGCGUCAAAUGGAGAGGAAAGCAGUGACCCACCCUGCAGCUCAUCCGAGGCCAUGCCAGCGCUUUGCCAUCUGUGUACGGCAGAUGGUGACGUAGGGCAGGUGGUGACACAGACCCAGUGAGACGUACUGCAUAAAGGAAAUCAUUCGUGCCUUGGAAGGAACAUUGUUAGGCAGGUCUUUCACUCUCAAACAGAGCAGCAAAACCUGGAUCAACUAAUAAGAAUUUGCAUUCACUAUCACAAGGUUGCAUCUGUUUUUUAAAUUUAGAAUAAUUAUUAUUUUUAAAUGUCCAUGAAUACUAACCUUUCAGUCGGUACUUAUUUUUUUUUUUUUUUUUUUGGUACCUAGGAUCGAACUCAUGACCUUGCACUUUUAAAUGUUACCUGAGACACUUCCAACCCCCUUGUAAUUCUCAGUUAUUUCAAACCAUCUCCCCACCCCGGUUGACUACAGUUUCUGACCUAACCAUCCAGAGAGUAGCUGAAGUCUUUAGCAGCAGUGCUGAGAGCCACAGGGUUAGGGUUAGAUCUCUCUCGAGUAUGAGGAUCCAAUUGGAGCUGUUGAUUUAUUCCUGCCUGUCGCUGUUUCUCUUUUAACCUUAUUCAAAAUGUGCUAGAUGGUUUCUCUUGAUGGAUUUAAGGCUUACACCAGUGAGUGAUGAAUUGUUUCUAGCUGUUGCCAAUCUUUACUUUCCUUUGAAGACUUUGUAUUGUCAUAGACUGAGAAAUAAAAUGAUGUCUGGCUUUUAAAAAUAAGCAUCCAUGGAACCACAGACAGGAGAGAGACCUUCAAAACCGUAAAGUACACGGAAAUUAUACAGUGCAGUAUAUGUUCCUACUAGAGCUUGAGUGGGUCCCCACAGUCCAAGCUCAUUCCUUCCUGGGACAGUGUUGGGAGACGGGACCAAGGGGAAGGAGUUUGGGUUGUGGAGGCGGAGUCCUCGUGAACAGACCAAUGCCCUUCUCCUGUGAGUUCUCACUUUUGCCUGCCCUUCCAGCUUCCCCCCGAGUUGGAAGCAGCCCAAGGCACUCCCUGAAAGCCAAGCAGAUGUCGGUCCCAUGCCCUCAGAUUCCUAGCAUCCAGAACCAUCAUUCAGAAUAAACCUCCUUUAUAAGGGCUGAUGAGAAUGGCUUCUCCUGCUCCUGCUGUUCUCCUGUGUGAAGACUCAGCACAAAGCCUUCAUCAGAUGCUGGCACCUUGAUCUUGGACUUCCUAGGAACCAGAACUGAAUACAUUUCUGUUCUUUAUAAGCUACCCAUCCCAGGUAUUCUGUUAUAGCAGCAAAAAGCAGACUAAGGCAUCCUGUCACUUUUGUUCUAUUUGUUAGAAGUGAGUCAGAAGAGCCUGCACUAUUUCCGGGGUGCACAAAAAGUACAUGCCUAAUAGGGGGUGGGGGUCCUUGGUGACACAUAUUCAAAUAAACACCAGUGGUGACAAUAAUAAGACCGGC